rnacentral:rRNA from 1 species
AUUGAACGCUGGCGGCAUGCUUUACACAUGCAAGUCGAACGGUAACAGGCCGCAAGGUGCUGACGAGUGGCGAACGGGUGAGUAAUGCAUCGGAACGUGCCCAGUCGUGGGGGAUAACGCAGCGAAAGCUGUGCUAAUACCGCAUACGAUCUAUGGAUGAAAGCGGGGGACCGUAAGGCCUCGCGCGAUUGGAGCGGCCGAUGUCAGAGUAGGUAGUUGGUGGGGUAAAGGCUCACCAAGCCAACGAUCUGUAGCUGGUCUGAGAGGACGACCAGCCACACUGGGACUGAGACACGACCCAGACUCCGACGGGAGGCAGCAGUGGGGAAUUUUGGACAAUGGGCGCAAGCCUGAUCCAGCAAUGCCGCGUGCAGGAAGAAGGCCUUCGGGUUGUAAACUGCUUUUGUACGGAACGAAAAGGUUUGGGUUAAUACCCUGGGCCGAUGACGGUACCGUAAGAAUAAGCACCGGCUAACUACGUGCCAGCCGCCGCUGUAA